rnacentral:rRNA from 1 species
UAGUCCACGCCGUAAACGAUGGAUACUCGAUGUAGGGAGGAAUCGACCCCUUUCUGUGUCCAAGCUAACGCGUUAAGUAUCCCGCCUGGGGAGUACGGUCGCAAGAUUAAAACUCAAAGGAAUAGACGGGGACCCACACAAGCGGUGGAGCAUGUGGUUUAAUUCGACAAUAAACGGGGAACCUUACCAAGGUUUGACAUCUCCGGAAGCUCUGAGAAAUCAGAGUGUGCCGUAAGGAACCGGAUGACAGGUGCUGCAUGGUCGUCGUCAGCUCGUGCCUUGAGGUGUUCGGUUAAGUCCGUAAACGAGCGCAACCCAUGUCCUAUGUUGCAUAUUUCAUAGGAGACUGCCGGCUCCAAGUCGGAGGAAGGUAUGGAUGACGUCAGAUCAGCAUGGCCCUUAUGCCUUGGGCUACACACGUGCUACAAUGGCCGGUACAAUGAGUCGCCAACCCGCAAGGGGGAGCCGAAUCUCAUCAAAGCCGGUCUCAGUUCGGAUUGGGGGCUGAAAUUCCG